AGAGUUUGAUCAUGGCUCAGAUUGAACGCUGGCGGCAUGCUUUACACAUGCAAGUCGAACGGCAGCGCGGGGCAACCUGGCGGCGAGUGGCGAACGGGUGAGUAAUACAUCGGAACGUACCCAGAAGUGGGGGAUAACGUAGCGAAAGUUACGCUAAUACCGCAUACGAUCUACGGAUGAAAGUGGGGGACCUUCGGGCCUCAUGCUUUUGGAGCGGCCGAUGUCUGAUUAGCUAGUUGGUAGGGUAAAGGCCUACCAAGGCGACGAUCAGUAGCUGGUCUGAGAGGACGACCAGCCACACUGAACUGAGACACGGUCCAGACUCCUACGGGAGGCAGCAGUGGGGAAUUUUGGACAAUGGGCGCAAGCCUGAUCCAGCAAUGCCGCGUGAGUGAAGAAGGCCUUCGGGUUGUAAAGCUCUUUUGUCAGGGAAGAAACGGCUGAGGCUAAUACCUUCGGCUAAUGACGGUACCUGAAGAAUAAGCACCGGCUAACUACGUGCCAGCAGCCGCGGUAAUACGUAGGGUGCAAGCGUUAAUCGGAAUUACUGGGCGUAAAGCGUGCGCAGGCGGUUUUGUAAGUCUGUCGUGAAAGCCCCGGGCUCAACCUGGGAAUUGCGAUGGAGACUGCAAGGCUUGAAUCUGGCAGAGGGGGGUAGAAUUCCACGUGUAGCAGUGAAAUGCGUAGAGAUGUGGAGGAACACCGAUGGCGAAGGCAGCCCCCUGGGUCAAGAUUGACGCUCAUGCACGAAAGCGUGGGGAGCAAACAGGAUUAGAUACCCUGGUAGUCCACGCCCUAAACGAUGUCUACUAGUUGUCGGGUUUUAAUUAACUUGGUAACGCAGCUAACGCGUGAAGUAGACCGCCUGGGGAGUACGGUCGCAAGAUUAAAACUCAAAGGAAUUGACGGGGACCCGCACAAGCGGUGGAUGAUGUGGAUUAAUUUGAUGCAACGCGAAAAACCUUACCUACCCUUGACAUGGAAGGAAUCCCGGAGAGAUCUGGGAGUGCCCGAAAGGGAACCUUCACACAGGUGCUGCAUGGCUGUCGUCAGCUCGUGUCGUGAGAUGUUGGGUUAAGUCCCGCAACGAGCGCAACCCUUGUCAUUAGUUGCUACGCAAGAGCACUCUAAUGAGACUGCCGGUGACAAACCGGAGGAAGGUGGGGAUGACGUCAAGUCCUCAUGGCCCUUAUGGGUAGGGCUUCACACGUCAUACAAUGGUACAUACAGAGGGCCGCCAACCCGCGAGGGGGAGCUAAUCCCAGAAAGUGUAUCGUAGUCCGGAUUGUAGUCUGCAACUCGACUACAUGAAGUUGGAAUCGCUAGUAAUCGCGGAUCAGCAUGUCGCGGUGAAUACGUUCCCGGGUCUUGUACACACCGCCCGUCACACCAUGGGAGCGGGUUUUACCAGAAGUAGGUAGCUUAACCGCAAGGAGGGCGCUACCACGGUAG
rnacentral:rRNA from 1 species